ACCCUCGUUCUAUGUUGCCAGCACGUAAUGGUGGGAACUCAUGGGAUACUGCCGGGGUCAACUCGGAGGAAGGUGGGGAUGACGUCAAAUCAUCAUGCCCCUUAUGUCUUGGGCUUCACGCAUGCUACAAUGGCCGGUACAAAGGGCUGCAAUACCGCGAGGUGGAGCGAAUCCCAAAAAGCCGGUCCCAGUUYGGAUUGAGGUCUGCAACUCGACCUCAUGAAGUCGGAGUCGCUAGUAAUCGCAGAUCAGCAACGUGCGGUGAAUACGUUCCCGGGUCUUGUACACACCGCCCGUCAAGUCRUGAAA
rnacentral:rRNA from 1 species